GACGAACGCUGGCGGCGUGCUUAACACAUGCAAGUCGAACGGAAAGGCCCUGCUUUUGUGGGGUGCUCGAGUGGCGAACGGGUGAGUAACACGUGAGUAACCUGCCCUUGACUUUGGGAUAACUUCAGGAAACUGGGGCUAAUACCGGAUAGGAGCUCCUGCUGCAUGGUGGGGGUUGGAAAGUUUCGGCGGUUGGGGAUCGACUCGCGGCGUAUCAGCUUGUUGGGGGGGUAGUGGCUUACCAAGGCUUUGACGGGUAGCCGGCCUGAGCGGGUGACCGGCCACAUUGGGACUGAGAUACGGCCCAGACUCCUACGGGAGGCAGCAGUGGGGAAUAUUGCACAAUGGGCGGAAGCCUGAUGCAGCAACGCCGCGUGCGGGAUGACGGCCUUCGGGUUGUAAACCGCUUUCGCCUGUGACGAAGCGUGAGUGACGGUAAUGGGUAAAGAAGCACCGGCUAACUACGUG
rnacentral:rRNA from 1 species